rnacentral:lncRNA from 1 species
GGUGGUUGCUAAAAGGCACAUUAACCAGAUCCUUCGGUGUCAUCUACAGAAAUUGCCUACUGCUAAGGUGUAUGCAGUAUAAAGCAAGUAGAUGUGUGGGACAGAAGAGUUGAUGCUGAGCAUCUUGGACUCAUUGCUCUUGGUUCACAGUGUGAGUUUGUGGGGGGCAAAGGGGGUUGUUCUUUGGACUAACUUGUGUGCAUCAGUUACCUUGAAUGAACGCACACAUAUGCAAGCUACACACAGCAGUAGAGAGUGAAUUUUCUAGUUUUGUCAUUAUUAUUUUUAUAGUACAUUUUCAUCCCUUUUGCCUUUAAUUUUUUUUACACAUCUCAUUUAUUCUUCUUCACUUUCAGCUAUUUUCAUCAUUCUUCUGAGGAGAUCCAGCCCUAGAGGAACAACCAUCAGCAAAUUCCAUUUGGGCAUUUGCCUGUCUCCCAAGAUUCUCCAAAGGGUGGUGAGGUUCAUGUCCGUGUGUUUGUUAAUGCAAAGAGCAGGCAGGGAUUGGUGACCACCAAGAGUAUCUGAAAGACAACAAAGUACAACCUGGGUAGCACUUCAAACAGGAGCGACCUGAAGUGGGUGUUUUCAAACCAUGCAUUUCACUUUAGAGCUGUUCUGUUCAGGUAUGAUGCAUCUUAAUUAGAAUUUGGAAAGAGUAGCAACAAAAACACAGAUAGAAAAGGGAAGAACAGUUUAUUGGCCUUGCCUUAGCAGAGAAUUUGCUGGAGAAAUGCACAUUCUCAUUGCACUUGCUAUGCCAUUUAUUAAUAUUGCAGCAUAGGAUGAUACAACUGUAAUCAUUUGUGACUUCAAUAAUUUAUAUCAAUACACAAUUCAUGAAUUCUGUGUUUGCCCAUUUGCAGAAUGCUACAGCUGAAGAGGAUCUACUGACAUGUAAGAGAUGAGUAUUUCUAAUCAUAUCCAUGUUCUUUUCAGUUCCCAGGAAGAACAAGACAGCUACAAAAUGCAAAGAUCCAGCCGUGGCUGGUAAAGGAUUUCCUGGAAGCCGAGAUGUGACAGAGGUGGAAAAAGUAUCUUCUGAGACACGAAGGGAAUGGAGAGAAAUUGUUGCGUGCACAGUUAAAAAAAAAAUAAAGAAAAAAUAAAAUAAAAAAAAAGUUAAUGGGAGAACAGAAGAACAGGAGCAGAAAGACUUGUAAAUGAGCACUACCAGGAACAGGGCCCUGACUGAAUUGGACCUUCCCUCCGAGAAAGUACGACUCUUCUCAUGCAUAAGAGCCUGCUUAUCAGCAACUAUUUGUAGCAGAUGGUACCCCCUCAAGAGCAAAUUUUAAAAAAAUAAUGACAGAGACACUGAAAGAUACUGAAGAAGAAAAAUAAGCUAUCCUGGAGAAGGUUUAAUAACAUUACCAGGCAACUGGAAAGUGCCUGUCAAAAUUGAAAGGAAACAGAGUGGAGAAACAAGAGUGAAAGAGAAUAUAAUUAAGAGGAGGAGAGCAUUGGCCAGCUGAAUGGUAGUCCCCACAUGGUCUCCAUUCUUGGAAAAGACAGCAAGCUGCUUCUUCCUAAUGCUGGUUGUUUUUAACCUGCUUGAAGAAGGACACUGAGAUGGUAACCAACAUCCUAAGAGCCUUUGAAAUUCAAGUUCUCCAUGGAGAGGAAAUAAAAUUUUAAAUGGCACAAAAGUGUAAUAAACC